rnacentral:sRNA from 2 species
CUAAAACGCCCUAAACCCCACACACGUAUCGGCACGAUGGCCUGGGUGCUCUGCAAGGAGUUGGCCAUUGGGAUGCGUGGAGGCCCAACC